rnacentral:rRNA from 1 species
ACGCUGGCGGCGUGCUUAACACAUGCAAGUCGAACGAUGAACCACUUCGGUGGGGAUUAGUGGCGAACGGGUGAGUAACACGUGGGCAAUCUGCCCUGCACUCUGGGACAAGCCCUGGAAACGGGGUCUAAUACCGGAUACUGAUCAUCUUAGGCAUCUUGGAUGAUCGAAAGCUCCGGCGGUGCAGGAUGAGCCCGCGGCCUAUCAGCUAGUUGGUGAGGUAAUGGCUCACCAAGGCGACGACGGGUAGCCGGCCUGAGAGGGCGACCGGCCACACUGGGACUGAGACACGGCCCAGACUCCUACGGGAGGCAGCAGUGGGGAAUAUUGCACAAUGGGCGAAAGCCUGAUGCAGCGACGCCGCGUGAGG